GUCUCCUUGCAGAUAUAAGGAGUCUGACCUGCCCACUGAAUUAUUAAAGGGCCGCGGUAUUUCUGACCGUGCGAAGGUAGCAUAAUCAUUAGUCUUUUAAUUGAAGGCUUGUAUGAAUGGUUGGACGAGAGAAAAACUGUCUCAGUUAAAAACAUGAACUUAACUUUUAAGUGAAAAGGCUUAAAUAUUUUGAAAAGACGAUAAGACCCUAUAAAUCUUAAUAUUAAUGCAAGUUAAUUUUUUAACUUAUAUUAAAAUAAAAAUAUUAGUUUGUUAAUAUUGUGUUGGGGCGACAAAAAUAUACAAUACACACCUGUUUUAAUUUUAAUACAAUUAUUUUUGACCUUAAAAGAUCCUUAAUAAAGAUUAAAAGAUCAAGUUACUUUAGGGAUAACAGCGUUAUUUUCUUUGAGAGUUCAUAUCGAAAAGAAAGUUUGCGACCUCGAUGUUGAAUUAAAAUUUCUCUAUGGUGCAGCCGCUAUAGAAGAAAGUCUGUUCGACUUUUAAAUUUUUACAUGAUUUGAGUUCAAACCGGCGUAAG
rnacentral:rRNA from 1 species